rnacentral:rRNA from 1 species
CUACGGGUGGCAGCAGUGGGGAAUAUUGGACAAUGGGGGAAACCCUGAUCCAGCAAUGCCGCGUGUGUGAAGAAGGCCUGCGGGUUGUAAAGCACUUUCGGUUGGGAGGACUGCUUCUAGCACUAAUAUUGUUGGAAGUUGACGUUACCUUCAGAAGAAGCACCGGCUAACUCCGUGCCAGCAGCCGCGGUAAUACGGAGGGGGCAAGCGUUAAUCGGAAUUACUGGGCGUAAAGCGCGCGUAGGCGGCUAGAUCAGUCGGGUGUGAAAGCCCCGGGCUUAACCUGGGAACUGCAUCCGAUACUGUCUAGCUUGAGUACAGGAGAGGAGAGUGGAAUUCCACAUGUAGCGGUGAAAUGCGUAGAUAUGUGGAGGAACACCAAUGGCGAAGGCAGCUCUCUGGCCUGCUACUGAUGCUGAGGGUCGAAAGCGUGGAGAGCAAACAGGACUAGAUACCCUGGUAGUC